AGCGGCAGACGGGUGAGUAACGCGUGGGAAUCUACCUUUUGCUACGGAAUAACGCAGGGAAACUUGUGCUAAUACCGUAUGUGUCCUUCGGGAGAAAGAUUUAUCGGCAAGAGAUGAGCCCGCGUUGGAUUAGCUAGUUGGUGGGGUAAAGGCCUACCAAGGCGACGAUCCAUAGCUGGUCUGAGAGGAUGAUCAGCCACAUUGGGACUGAGACACGGCCCAAACUCAUACGGGAGGCAGCAGUGGGGAAUAUUGGACAAUGGGCGCAAGCCUGAUCCAGCCAUGCCGCGUGAGUGAUGAAGGCCCUAGGGUUGUAAAGCUCUUUCACCGGAGAAGAUAAUGACGGUAUCCGGAGAAGAAGCCCCGGCUAACUUCGUGCCAGCAGCCGCGGUAAUACGAAGGGGGCUAGCGUUGUUCGGAAUUACUGGGCGUAAAGCGCACGUAGGCGGAUCGAUCAGUCAGGGGUGAAAUCCCAGGGCUCAACCCUGGAACUGCCUUUGAUACUGUCGAUCUGGAGUAUGGAAGAGGUGAGUGGAAUUCCGAGUG
rnacentral:rRNA from 2 species